rfam:Schistosoma mansoni strain Puerto Rico chromosome 6, complete genome
AUUCAGCUGACGAGUCCCAAAUAGGACGAAACGCGCGUCCUGAAU